ACUCCUGCGGGAGGCAGCAGUGAGGAAUAUUGGACAAUGGGUGGAAGCCUGAUCCAGCCAUCCCGCGUGCAGGAAGACGGCCCUAUGGGUUGUAAACUGCUUUUAUCUGGGGAUAAACCUACUUACGUGUAAGUAGCUGAAGGUACCAGAAGAAUAAGCACCGGCUAACUCCGUGCCAGCAGCCGCGGUAAUACGGAGGGUGCAAGUGUUAUCCGGAUUUAUUGGGUUUAAAGGGUCCGUAGGCGGACUGAUAAGUCAGUGGUGAAAUCCGACAGCUUAACUGUCGAACUGCCAUUGAUACUGUUAGUCUUGAGUAAGGUUGAAGUGGCUGGAAUAAGUAGUGUAGCGGUGAAAUGCAUAGAUAUUACUUAGAACACCAAUUGCGAAGGCAGGUCACUAAGUCUUAACUGACGCUGAUGGACGAAAGCGUGGGGAGCGAACAGGAUUAGAAACCCCAGUAGUCCCAUGA
rnacentral:rRNA from 1 species